rnacentral:rRNA from 1 species
GAUGACGGCCCUACGGGUUGUAAACUGCUUUUAUGCGGGGAUAAAGUGAGGGACGUGUCCCUUUUUGCAGGUACCGCAUGAAUAAGGACCGGCUAAUUCCGUGCCAGCAGCCGCGGUAAUACGGAAGGUCCGGGCGUUAUCCGGAUUUAUUGGGUUUAAAGGGAGCGUAGGCCGGGGAUUAAGUGUGUUGUGAAAUGUAGGCGCCCAACGUCUGACUUGCAGCGCAUACUGGUUCCCUUGAGUACGCGCAACGCCGGCGGAAUUCGUCGUGUAGCGGUGAAAUGCUUAGAUAUGACGAAGAACCCCGAUUGCGAAGGCAGCCGGCGGGAGCGCAACUGACGCUGAAGCUCGAAGGUGCGGGUAUCGAACAGGAUUAGAUACCCUGGUAGUCCGCACGGUAAACGAUGGAUGCCCGCUGUCGGCGCCUUGCGCCGGCGGCCAAGCGAAAGCGUUAAGCAUCCCACCUGGGGAGUACGCCGGCAACGGUGAAACUCAAAGGAAUUGACGGGGGCCCGCACAAGCGGAGGAACAUGUGGUUUAAUUCGAUGAUACGCGAGGAACCU